CCCCUGGUGGUCCAACGGUUAGGACUUGGGACUGUCAAUGGGUCAGGGUUCAAUCCCUGCUCAGGGA
rnacentral:tRNA from 1 species